AGUGAACGCUGGCGGUAGGCCUAACACAUGCCAGUCGAACGGCAGCACAGUAAGAGCUUGCUCUUACGGUUGGCGAGUGGCGGACGGGUGAGGAAUACAUCGGAAUCUACUUUUUCGUGGGGGAUAACGUAGGGAAACUUACGCUAAUACCGCAUACGACCUACGGGUGAAAGCAGGGGAUCUUCGGACCUUUCGCGAUUGAAUGAGCCGAUGUCGGAUUAGCUAGUUGGCGGGGUAAAGGCCCACCAAGGCGACGAUCCGUAGCUGGUCUGAGAGGAUGAUCAGCCACACUGGAACUGAGACACGGUCCAGACUCCUACGGGAGGCAGCAGUGGGGAAUAUUGGACAAUGGGCGCAAGCCUGAUCCAGCAAUACCGCGUGGGUGAAGAAGGCCUUCGGGUUGUAAAGCCCUUUUGUUGGGAAAGAAAAGCAGCAGGUUAAUACCCCGCUGUUCUGACGGUACCCAAAGAAUAAGCACCGGCUAACUUCGUG
rnacentral:rRNA from 1 species